AUGAACGCUGGCGGCGUGCCUCAUACAUGCAAGUCGCGCGAACAGACGAGGAGCUUGCUCCUCUGACGUUAGCGGCGGACGGGUGAGUAACACGUGGAUAACCUACCUAUAAGACUGGGAUAACUUCGGGAAACCGGAGCUAAUACCGGAUAAUAUAUUGAACCGCAUGGUUCAAUAGUGAAAGACGGUUUUGCUGUCACUUAUAGAUGGAUCCGCGCCGCAUUAGCUAGUUGGUAAGGUAACGGCUUACCAAGGCAACGAUGCGUAGCCGACCUGAGAGGGUGAUCGGCCACACUGGAACUGAGACACGGUCCAGACUCCUACGGGAGGCAGCAGUAGGGAAUCUUCCGCAAUGGGCGAAAGCCUGACGGAGCAACGCCGCGUGAGUGAUGAAGGUCUUCGGAUCGUAAAACGCUGUUAUUAGGGAAGAACAAAUGUGUAAGUAACGAUGCACGUCUGGACGGUACCUAAGCAGAAAGCCACGGCUAACUACGU
rnacentral:rRNA from 1 species